AGAGUUUGAUCCUGGCUCAGAUUGAACGCUGGCGGCAGGCCUAACACAUGCAAGUCGAACGGUAACAUUUCUAGCUUGCUAGAAGAUGACGAGUGGCGGACGGGUGAGUAAUGCUUGGGAACUUGCCUUUGCGAGGGGGAUAACAGUUGGAAACGACUGCUAAUACCGCAUAAUGUCUUCGGACCAAACGGGGCUUAGGCUCCGGCGCAAAGAGAGGCCCAAGUGAGAUUAGCUAGUUGGUAAGGUAACGGCUUACCAAGGCGACGAUCUCUAGCUGUUCUGAGAGGAAGAUCAGCCACACUGGGACUGAGACACGGCCCAGACUCCUACGGGAGGCAGCAGUGGGGAAUAUUGCACAAUGGGGGAAACCCUGAUGCAGCCAUGCCGCGUGUGUGAAGAAGGCCUUCGGGUUGUAAAGCACUUUCAGUUGUGAGGAAAAGUUAGUAGUUAAUACCUGCUAGCCGUGACGUUAACAACAGAAGAAGCACCGGCUAACUCCGUGCCAGCAGCCGCGGUAAUACGGAGGGUGCGAGCGUUAAUCGGAAUUACUGGGCGUAAAGCGCACGCAGGCGGUUUGUUAAGCUAGAUGUGAAAGCCCCGGGCUCAACCUGGGACGGUCAUUUAGAACUGGCAGACUAGAGUCUUGGAGAGGGGAGUGGAAUUCCAGGUGUAGCGGUGAAAUGCGUAGAUAUCUGGAGGAACAUCAGUGGCGAAGGCGACUCCCUGGCCAAAGACUGACGCUCAUGUGCGAAAGUGUGGGUAGCGAACAGGAUUAGAUACCCUGGUAGUCCACACCGUAAACGCUGUCUACCAGCUGUGUGUGCCUUUAAGGCGUGCGUAGCGAAGCUAACGCGCUAAGUAGACCGCCUGGGGAGUACGGCCGCAAGGUUAAAACUCAAAGGAAUUGACGG
rnacentral:rRNA from 1 species